rnacentral:rRNA from 1 species
AACGAACGCUGGCGGCGUGGAUAAGACAUGCAAGUCGAACGCUGGUUGUCGGGUAGCAAUAUUCGAUAACCGGAGUGGCGUAAGGGUGCGCAACACGUGGGCAAUUUGCCGCGAAGACUGGGAUAACCCCGAGAAAUCUGGGCUAAUACCGGAUGUGGCUGCCGAGAGACAUCUUUUGGCAUCCAAAGCUGGGGACCGCAAGGCCUGGCGCUUCGCGAUAAGCCCGCGGCCUAUCAGCUAGUUGGCGAGGUAACGGCUCACCAAGGCUAAGACGGGUAGCUGGUCUGAGAGGACGACCAGCCACACUGGAACUGAGACACGGUCCAGACACCUACGGGAGGCAG